ACGCGCAAUAUAGGCAAACUGUUACUAAAUAAUAAUUUAUAGAGAAGCUUGUUUUUUAAAUUUUUUUUUAACGAAAUAGCUUCCAUAUAAUUCAGCAAUAAAACUAGUAUAACUUUCGAUGAUAUGAAUCAGCAAUAAUUCGUUCUCGAUCGUGAAACAACAAGGUUUAAUGUUUCGAUUGGAUAUGGAAUUCUAAAAUGAAGCGUGGUUUCAAUUGUGUUUUUAAUUAUAGACUAUGAGCAUGAAAAUGCAUAUUUUUAUAGUUAGUCUGUUGCUAUGUUCACUUACUUGCACAACGUGGGCUGACAUAGAUAUGAGGCAGUUAAAAGAAGGUAUUAGAUACAUGAGACCUGUGCACGUAACUUUGCCUGAUUAUUUGAAAACAGCAAAAACUGAAACAAUUACGGUACCCGAAAAAAUUAAAAACAUGCUUCAAGAGCUGCUCGGUGAAUGAGACAGAAAGCGUAGGUAUUGCACUUCAACUUGCACUUGCAAUAAUGGUUUGUAUUCUUCACAUUCUGCUUAGCUUUACACAUUAUAAUCUGUAUCAACUUGUACCAGUGAUAAUGGCUUUAUUUUGAAAAAGAAAAUAUUGUACUUUUUGUAUUCUAUCAAGUACAUGUAUUGUCUUGUGCAUACAAAUACAUUUAUAUACAUAUUAUUGUAUGUUUUAACUUGUUCUGGUGAUAAUUAAUAAUAUUAUUUCCAAAUAUAAAUGCUGUACGUUUUAUAAUCUGUCUAGUACAUAUAAACACAUUUUAAAAAAUAAUGUUAUAUGUUUCAAUUUGUUCCUGUUCCGGCGAUUAUGGUCUUAUUUUGUGCAAAAAUUAUGGUCUUAUAUUUAUCCAAAUAAUACAUCAACUUGUACCCAGCAAUAAUGGUUUUAUUUUGAGAAAUACACGAUUUUACUUUUUAUAUUCUGUUUAGUAAUACCUAAGCUAAUAUGUUUCAACUACUUUUAAAAUGUGAUUUGAAUAAAUUUAACUUAUUGCAUAUAA